UACGUAGGGUGCAAGCGUUAAUCGGAAUUACUGGGCGUAAAGCGUGCGUAGGCGGUUUUGCAAGUCGGGUGUGAAAUCCCCAGGCUUAACCUGGGAACUGCAUUCGAGACUGCAUUACUAGAGUAUGGGAGAGGGAAGUGGAAUUUCCGGUGUAGCGGUGAAAUGCGUAGAUAUCGGAAGGAACAUCAGUGGCGAAAGCGACUUCCUGGACCAAUACUGACGCUCAUGUGCGAAAGCGUGGGGAGCAAACAGG
rnacentral:rRNA from 1 species